AGUGAACGCUGGCGGUAGUCCUAACACAUGCAAGUCGAACGGCAGCACAGUAAGAGCUUGCUCUUACGGGUGGCGAGUGGCGGUCUGGUGCGGACUACAUCGGAAUCUACUUUUUCGUGGGGGAUAACGUCGGGAAACUUACGCUAAUACCGCAUACGACCUACGGGUGCACGCAGGGGAUCUUCGGACCUUGCGCGAUUGAAUGAGCCGAUGUCGGAUUAGCUAGUUGGCGGGGUAAAGGCCCACCAAGGCGACGAUCCGUAGCUGGUCUGAGGGGAUAGUCAGCCACACUGGAACUGAGACACGGUCCAGACUCCUACGGGAGGCAGCAGUGGGGAAUAUUGGACAAUGGGCGCAAGCCUGAUCCAGCCAUACCGCGUGGGUGAAGAAGGCCUUCGGGUUGUAAAGCCCUUUUGUUGGGAAAGAAAAGCAGCAGGUUAAUACCCCGCUGUUCUGACGGUACCCAAAGAAUAAGCACCGGCUAACUUCGUG
rnacentral:rRNA from 1 species